UAAAUUGGAUUUCCCCAUAGAUAUGGCAAUGAAAUCCCCUCAACCUCUUAAGUUGAUAAAAAUAGACAUCUUUGCAUACUUUUUUUUUAUUGGCACCAGGUGUCCGGGAAAAGCAUCCCGACUAAUCCCAGGGGUGCACAUACCCUUGACAAGGAGUUUCCCACAAGUCCACAUCGGGUAAUUUAAGGGAAAAAUCCCCCAGUCCAAUGGCCCCUAUAUAUUGUUUGCACCCAGUGGGAUUCGAACCUUGGACCUUGGAGGGAGCGUACCACCAAAACCAAGGCCUUUACCACUUGAGCCAACCCCUAGGGGUU